AGUGAACGCUGGCGGUAGGCCUAACACAUGCAAGUCGAACGGCAGCACAGUAAGAGCUUGCUCUUACGGGUGGCGAGUGGCGGACGGGUGAGGAAUACAUCGGAAUCUACUUUUUCGUGGGGGAUAACGUAGGGAAACUUACGCUAAUACCGCAUACGACCUACGGGUGAAAGCAGGGGAUCUUCGGACCUUGCUCGAUUGACUGAGCCGAUGUCGGAUUAGCUAGUUGUCGGGGUAAAGGCCCACCAAGGCGACGAUCCGUAGCUGGUCUGAGAGGAUGAUCAGCCACACUGGAACUGAGACACGGUCCAGACUCCUACGGGAGGCAGCAGUGGGGAAUAUUGGACAAUGGGCGCAAGCCUGAUCCAGCCAUACCGCGUGGGUGAAGAAGGCCUUCGGGUUGUAAAGCCCUUUUGUUGGGAAAGAAAAGCAGCAGGUUAAUACCCCGCUGUUCUGACGGUACCCAAAGAAUAAGCACCGGCUAACUUCGUG
rnacentral:rRNA from 1 species